GCCUAGUUAGCUUAGUUGUAAGUGCGUCUGCCUUGUAAGCGCUAGGCCGCGGGUUCGAUUCCCGCCCGGGGCG
rnacentral:tRNA from 1 species